rnacentral:rRNA from 1 species
UACGUAGGGGGCAAGCGUUGUCCGGAAUCAUUGGGCGUAAAGCGCGUGUAGGCGGCCCGAUAAGUCCGCUGUGAAAGUCCAGGGCUCAACCCUGGGAUGCCGGUGGAUACUGUCGGGCUCGAGUCCGGAAGAGGCGAGUGGAAUUCCUGGUGUAGCGGUGAAAUGCGCAGAUAUCAGGAGGAACACCGAUUGCGAAGGCAGCUCGCUGGGACGUAACCGACGCUGAGACGCGAAAGCGUGGGGAGCAAACAGG